UACGGGGGGAGCAAGCGUUGUUCGGAUUUACUGGGCGUAAAGGGCGCGUAGGCGGCCACCGCAAGUCGACUGUGAAAUCUCCGGGCUUAACCCGGAAAGGUCAGCCGAUACUGCGGGGCUAGAGUGCAGAAGGGGCAACUGGAAUUCUCGGUGUAGCGGUGAAAUGCGUAGAUAUCGAGAGGAACACCUGCGGCGAAGGCGGGUUGCUGGGCUGACACUGCCGCUGAGGCGCGAAAGCUAGGGGAGCGAACGGG
rnacentral:rRNA from 1 species